GCUUUCUUCACAACAGGAGCCUGGGCAGCACUGAAUAGGCUCAAGCUGAGGAGAAAAAGAAUACCAAGAACUUCAGGAUACACUUUCAGACACUUACAACAUUACUGUGCUCCAGACUUGAGAACAAUACAAAUAAAAUAAACAAAAUGAGGAACUUAAGACCAUACACUUUUCCAAUGAACAGCAUACACAAGAAAACACUCAGAUUCUGUGAAAAAAAAAGAAAAGAAAAACCAGUUCCCAUAAUAAGCUGGUAACAAGGGACCAGGAUGGAGACGUUGCACAGUCAGCAUAAGGCACAGCUAGUGCAAGUCCCAGAAGCAACACUCUUUCCAGUGAACAGCAAGUACAGAAGUGUUUACACAGUUGCAGCUUAUUAGUGUGCUUAUGUUUGGUUUCAUAACAACCAAAUAUUGAAAUCUGCUUGGUAUGCUACUGUCUUCAUAGAUGCAACAGACCUCUGCUUUAGUUAUAUAUUAUGGAUACAAUAUUUGUCUUGUUCAAAUAGUUCAGAAGUACUUAGUUUUAAUUCAAAGUGGAUUUUAAAUUCAGCUAUUUGCAAAGGUUUCAAAAUCAGUGAAGAGGACUUCAUGGGCUAUCAUAUGCAUAAACUAAGUAUUCAAUAAAUAUGUUUGGGAGAAAUGUUUCAAUACACCCAUACUACUACUAUGAGCAUUUUUAAAGUAGCUGACCUGCAGAGCUGAGGUUCAUUAAAAUAUCGCAUAACACAGCUCUUCCACAUUUAAUUUCUAUUUAUGAUUCUGAGCCUUUUUUUACUUUACAAUAUUCAUCAGAUGUAACUAUUUGUAUAAUUCAGUUUAUUUUCAUGCCUGUGAUUACUAAAAUUCACAUAUAAAAUAUAUCAUUGAAUUAUCAUGCAUUUGCUCAUGAAAUUAAGGAAAAUUCUGUAGCAAUAAUUAAUAAAUAAUGGAAACUCCCAUCAUCUUCUUACUGCCCAUUGCUAAAAAAAAUCUUCUUGUUACUAAAAUUACACUGCUAACAUUGUCUAAAAUACUAUCCCUGAAAGCAUACCUUUUGUUUUGCUUUCUUUAUAUAUGUUUUCAUGUACAGCACAAUCCCACUGCCAUUGAAAUAAACAUUUUUACCAUUGUCUUCAAGACAGUAACAAGUGACAAGGUACUACUUUAAAUGGAAAUUUGAUUAAAUCUGAUUUUUUUUUUUUUUCCUGAGCCCCAAUUUAUUAUCUCUUGAAGACUGCCACAUCAUUUAGUAACCAGGUUUAAUUAUUACACAUAGAACACUACAGGUAUAAGCAAACCGAGGUUGAUAGUAAAGAAGGUAGAACUAGAACAUAGUUAUAUGUAAAGAUGACACCAGAAUUAUGAAAUAAUUAAAGAUUUCAUCAUUAGAGACAAAUACAAUGGACAAAUUAUGUUAUAAGACUGCAAUGUAAAUUGUUGGGAAAAUAGUGCAGCUCAAAAUUAAGGAGUAUGAGAAGCUGACCGAAAACAUCCUUCUAAUUUCAGUUAUGCAUCAACAAUCUUAUAAUCACUAAGAAUAAGAUGUGGGUUUUCUCUGUACAGGUAGAUCUCACAACUUUUUUCUGUAGGUAAAAUAUAUAAUCUGCUUUGUGAAAACCAUUUCUCAAUAUAGCUUUGAUUUUGAUGGAUGGAAAGAGAGGAAUUUCAUUAGCAUGAAGCAUUUAUCACCAUGGUGAUGUGUGAACAGCCAUAAAGGUGACCUGGUUUGAAAAGAAAAAUUACUAAACAGGAGAAAACGCCUGCCACCCUCAGAACUGUGAUCCUGGGAAGUAAGUCUGGGAACCAGAAGCAUCCUUGAAAAGUAUAUCUAGCCUCUCUGAAGUACAGCUGGGUACCUAGAAACCAGAGGCAUCCUGAGAUGCCACCAGUAAGUGCUAAACCAAAGAACUGUAGUGACAACUUAUCAUCUGAAAAGGUGAAAAAUAGCCUGGGGGGAAAAAAAAAGGAAAAUAGUCUGGGGAAACAAAAUCAAAAAUUGGUCUGAAAGAACAGAAAACAUCAUUACCGCUUGGCUUCUAGACACUUCCCCUACAUCCAACAGAGCCUGUGCCAGCCAGCUCCAACACAGACUUACUGCUGGCCAAGGCCAAGCCCAUUAGCAGCAGUGGUAGUGGCCCUGUGACAAUGUAUUUUAAAAGGGGAAAAAACUGCCAUGCAACAGCAGCAAAUUGGAGGAGUGAGAACAUGUGAGAGAAAGAGCUCUGCAGACACCAAGGUCAAUGAAGAAGGAGGAGAAGAGGUGUUCAAGGUGCUGGAGCAGAGAUUCCCGUGCAGCCUAUGGUGCAGACCGUGGUGAGGCAGACAGUCCCCCUGCAGCCCAUGGAGGUCCAUGAUGGAGCAGAUAUCCACCUGCAGCCUAUGGAGGACCCCAUGCAGAGCAGGUGGGUACCUGAAGGAGGCUGAGACCCCAUGGGAAUCCAUGCCAGUUUUUCUGGCAAGACUAACCUUCUAGGGGACCUGAAGGACUGCGCCCUGUGAAAGGGACCCAUGCCGGAGCUGUUCGUGAAGAGCUGCAAACCAUGGGAAGGACCCAUGCUGGAAAAGUUCGUGGAGGCACCCCACACUGGAGCAGGGCAAGUGCGUGAGAGAAAGGAGCGACAGAGGCAACAUGUGAUGAACUGACCACAGCCCCCGUUCCUCAUCCCAUGAGCGGAGGAGGUGGAGAAAUAGGGAAUGAAGUUGAGCCUGGGAAGAAGAGAGGGAUGGGGAGAAUGUUUAUUAAGAUUUGGGUUUAUUUCUCAUUAUCCUACUCUUAUUUAAUUGGCAAUAAAUUAAAUUAACUUCCCAAGCUGAUUUUUUUGCCGAUCAUGGUGGUUGGCGAGUCGUCUUUCCCUGUCCUUAUCUUGACCCAUGAGCCUUUCAUGGUAUUUUUCUCUCCCUGUCCAGUUGAGUAGGGAAACGAUAGAGUGGCUUGGUGUGCCACCUGGUGUCCAGCCACGAUCAACCCACCACACCUGAACAGGUUAAAUUCUCUACACAAGCUCUCUAUGAGCUCUUGGACUCUCAAUGGGCACACCUGGCUAACUCCAAACUUCCUGAUGUGGAUCGUCUUCAAAGUGAGACUCUUCCUUUUACUUCACUGGUCCCCUUUUGGGCUCACUUCUGGGGUUGCUUCGGUUUGUUGUCCCACCUGUGGCAUGGUUGAGGACCCUUCUGGGAUUGUUUUGUCCUCCCCUUAGGGAUGAUUUGGCUCCUUCUGAGCUCUGUCUCAUUUGUUUUAUAUCAGUAUUAUAUACAAGUAAUCCAUAUUUGCUGUUACGUUGUUAAGUUUGCAAUAACUUGUAAUAGUAUACAACUACUUGGUUGAUGCUGUUACUGGUUUUUGUUAUAUUGUUACUAUGCUCUUGAUUGGUACUGUAUUACUGACUGCUGAUAAUAAUUUUUAAUAUCUCGAUAUGUAUAUAUAUUCACUUCAUUAAUCAUAGGUAUACUGCCAGUGGUGAUGUUUGUGGUAGCUUACUUGCUAGUGUGGUGAUUUUUGUGAUAUUUUAGUAAAUUUUAGUAAAGUACAUUUAGUAAAUUUUAGAGAUUUUAGUAAAGUACAGAAAUUGAAAGGAUAAAGCCUCCAUGCCCUUGUGUUAUCAUGGAAGCCUGUGAACCUAAGGUCACGAUCUCUACACACCUGCAGGCUAAGUAACCCUUCAGGUUUUACAUGGUCGUAUUAACUGAAAAGUAUUCAGCUUUCUUACUUUCAUGUGUUUUAUUCCUUCCAUAUCCUUAUAAGCCUGCCCCUGGACACAGUAAUAUCCUUAGAUAAAUCUUAUAUACAUUGACACAGUUGUCCCCGAAUAGUAAAGAGUAAAGCAUACCCAUAUAACACAGUUUUACAAUGGUGAAACUGCAUCCAUAUUGUGAGACUUAUCCAGGUAACAUUUUUGGGAAAAUGGUGCCUUUACCAACCAUGUUCCAGGUAACUCAAUAAAGCUACCUUCUUUUGUUAGUGAAAAGAUGAGUAAGCCAAGCACUGGAUGGGUAUGUCAGGGACCUGAAGACACCACCUGGCCUCAGGGUCGCUGAUGGGCAUCACUGCUUGUGCCCAGCCCCAUCUCCGUUCCUAUUUCUAGCUGGCUUAUGCCCAACACCAUCAGUAUGUCAUCUCCUGGAUGGGCCCAUCAGGCCUGCACUGCAGCUCAUCUCCAGCCUAUCUCCAUCCACUCUUGGUGGCCAAACUCCACCCUCAGCCUGAAACUCAACAAAACUGUUGGGGAUUGUUGGUGGGCCACCAGCUUUGCCUGCUGUGCUGUCAAGGAGAGCUCAGCUGACCUUGGGAUUGUUGUAGUGCCACACUCCCUGACUUCAAGAAUGCUGCCGGACCACUCCGUGCCCUGACAACAUACUGAAAAUACUACCUUCUAGAAAGGUAUCAUCAGCCUGAUGAACGCUGUUUGUCAUUUUAGAAGCCAUGGCAGAAGAAAGACUAAGUUGGGAAAAUAAGAACAAUAGCUCGGGUGCAUGUUUAGGAUGUCUUGGAUCUCAGAUGGCUGUAAAUGCCUAAGAACAGGCAAAUAAUGCACGACCACAAAGAGGACAGGAUUCAGCUCUACAUUUGCAGAUGCAUAAAUUUGCUGUAAGGGAGCUGCAUGUCCAAGCUCCCUUUCUUGUUAAUGAAAUUCUGCAGCUUAAUAUAGUUACAUCAAUACAGACAGCUAAUAAUAUGUGUUGACUGACUGCAAUCUGAUUGCCUUCCAGUUGCCACUCCAAAACCAUAAUGAUUUCUCUUAGUCUAGUGAAGAUGCUUUGGCUAACCUGUAUGUCUCGCAUGACUCCAAACUCCCAACAUUAAGGCGUCUGAAUGAAUUUCCAAAUCAAUAUUGAGGGCUACAAAAUCCAAUCUGAGAAAUGCACACAUUGUGCAUUAUGUCAUCAACUGAACAGCUUCACAGACAAUACUGAUUGAUUUGUCUAGAAGCUAUAUACUGUCACCACAGCUGUUUUACUACAAUUGUGGAUGUCCUGGAGUAGCUGAGAUAUUAGCAUAGGGAUGUCUAUAUUGGCAUAUGCUUUUCUGGAACAGCAUUUGGAUGUCAUGCAGAAUACCCUAGGAUUUGUUGGAUGGUAUAAGAUCCUGAUAUGCAUGUAACAAUCAAAUUAAGCCUCCUUUGGCUGGAACAGAAGCUCAGGUAUGAUGUUCACAUGUAAACUGUGACAUUUAGUCAUCCGGAUCACAUGCAGUUGGCUCACAUACAAGGUAUUAUUCAAGUUAACAGUACAUAAGGAAUUCACUGCCUAGAAAAUCAAGAUCUUAAAGGUAUCCAAGCAGAUUGUUUGUCAUUUUCAGUGAGUAUGAGAACAUCUGUGUUUCUAUCAUGUAAGCUUUAGUCACUACACACAUUAUUAUUUACUUCAUAAACCUUCAUUUGACUGAAAAGAUUUAGAAGGACACUUUUCCUGGGAGGCAGAAGAUCUCAUAAUAGGCUGCUGAAUUCUUCUUAUAUACUUGUAAGUAUCUGCAGUUGUUUAUUUGGAGAGGCAGAAUACUGAAUUUUUUGAAACACUAGUAUGAUUCAGUAGAUCAGUUGCUAUGUAACAGUUACCUUUUGGUACUUCUUAUUACCUUACCAUAAUCAGUUGUUCACAUUGAUACAUUCAUUGCCAUGCUGUGAUGGAAUCUGACUGGACUUUGUUUCAAGCACUUGGAUUAAAAAGUAAAAUAUGCAUAUAUAUACACAACAGUCAUUUGCUGUGUAAUCUUGGUACAUUCUAGUAGAAAAUAUUUUAUGCAGGUUUGUUUUGGGUUUUUUUUUAUGAUUUCUGCUGUUUCACUUGGCUGUGUUUAAAAAGAAGAAAGGCAGUUAAUGCUUUUGUUUAGUGCAUUGAGAAGUCGUUACUGAGAGUACAUGUGAGAAGAAAAUUCACCCUGCUAUUAACCACCCUGCAUUGAUUUUUCACUGAUACUGUACAGUUAAGUACAGAUUGUUAGAUGAAAUGCCCUAUAAACCUGAAAAAUCUAAAUUAUCUGAUUAAUUUUACAUUCCUUACUCCUAUCCUGUCCUGUCCUCUCCUUACCUCUCCUCUCUUCUCUCCUCUCUCUUUUCCCUGCCAAGAGCCAGAAGAAAUAAAAAUACAAUGAUAGAAGUUUUAGUCAUGUUGGCAACUACUUUCAUAACAGAUAACUAAAACUAAAGGGAGGCAAUGAAACAUUUGAAGGUACUAAAAUGAAUAGAUUUUCAAAUGCAUAACCAUGUUUCCGUGAGUUUUAUACAUAUCUAUUUGGAAAGAGACUCUAUUUUAACAAUAAAAGUACCAAAUCAAGUCUAUGGACAUAAUGUUGUAAAACUAAUGCUUCACAGAUGUCUGUUUAGAUGUAGUACUACCUCAGAUAUUAUACAGUAAAGAAAUUAAUGGUUUCUUCUAAACAGAUCUACAAACAGUCUGGAAUUGGCUAAGCCAAUAAGAAAAGGUCACCUUUUCGAAGAGCAUUGGGAAUUGUGAUGGUGGUGUAUUCUUACUGACUGAGAACACUAUUUAGAAUGCAUAUUGUGUACAUAUUUUGUCAUUGUCAUGAAUGCAUUACAUAUGUAAAAUGCCACAUACUAUGUCAAAUGCAGUUCUAAUUCUCUAGUAACACAAUUAAAACAACUGUAAAACAACUGUAAAACAAGGGUGAUGGCAGCCAUGAAUUAUGUAGAUGGCUGCUGCAUUUAAAGAAGAUUCCUAUUUCU